GCCCACGUAGCUCAGUGGUAGAGCACUUCCUUGGUAAGGAAGAGGUCAUGGAUUCAAUCUCCAUCGUGGGCUCCA
rnacentral:tRNA from 1 species